AUUGAACGCUGGCGGCAUGCUUUACACAUGCAAGUCGAACGGUAACAGGCCGCAAGGUGCUGACGAGUGGCGAACGGGUGAGUAAUGCAUCGGAACGUGCCCAGUCGUGGGGGAUAACGCAGCGAAAGCUGCGCUAAUACCGCAUACGAUCUAUGGAUGAAAGCGGGGGACCGUAAGGCCUCGCGCGAUUGGAGCGGCCGAUGUCAGAUUAGGUAGUUGGCGGGGUAAAGGCCCACCAAGCCAACGAUCUGUAGCUGGUCUGAGAGGACGACCAGCCACACGGGGAAUAAGACACGGCCCAGACUCCUACGGGAGGCAGCAGGGGGGAAUUUUGGACAAUGGGCGCAAGCAUGAUCUAGCAAUGCCGCGUGCAGGAAGAAGGCCUUCGGGUUGUAAACUGCUUUUGUCAGGGAAGAAACGCUCUGGGCUAAUACCCUGGGGUAAUGACGGUACCUGAAGAAUAAGCACCGGCUAACUACGUGCCAGCAGCCGCGGUAAAAC
rnacentral:rRNA from 1 species